rnacentral:ncRNA from 1 species
CAAAAAGUGAUGAUAGAGAAGAGUACAUAUUUAGAACUUUACAGAGAGCUGAUGGUUGGUGGGAAUCAGUAAGGGAUAAAUAUGGAAUGGACUCUGGAGCUUCUAGCUGAAAUAAGUAGGCUAAGACGUUUUACUUCACGUUAAAGAAGUGUUAAGUGAGCUAUAAUUGUAGCUAAUAAAGGUGGUACCGCGGGAGCCCCUCGUCCUUUUU